rnacentral:lncRNA from 1 species
UAGUUGAGAAUAGCUGCUCUGUGAAACCUCUUUUUAGUUUUCUGAAAGCCUUUUCUUCUCUAGAGCUUGGAAAACUAACUGAUGUGAAUCAUCAGUAUAACGAGUUGAGUUAUUUUUUUUUAAAAUAGCCACACAAAUGCUAAAAGCAGCAACAACAAAACUAAAAAAAAAAAAAAAGACAACUUAUCCCAGGAGCAACCAGACAAACCCACAGCACCUCUUUGCCUUUCACAGAAAACUCACAAGUUGGGGAGGAGAGGAAAGGAUCCAGUGAUGCAACAAGGCAACACGUGCCAUGUGCAUAACGCGUAGUAAACCAGGUGGCCAACUGAUAAAAUAUUGCUGUAGUAUGACAUGCUUCUGCAUAUAUAUCUAUCGUUAGUAAAUAAUAUGAAAACUUCAAAAAUGCUAUUAAAAAUCCUAGUUUGUUACAGUGGUGGGAUGCUUCUAGCCAUGGAGUUUUGAAAGCAUUUUAGCUGUGUUAAGUGUUGACGAAUUGAAUGCUGUACAUUUCUCCAUUUCUAUCUUCUUCAGAAACAAAAGUGGUAGCUACAUUUCUGACUCUUGAUCUGUAUUUUACAAACUGUUUUUUAUGUCACUGUAAAUACGUUCAAGACCCUGCACCUUAUGCAGAGAAUGUUUACGUUUUUUUUUAAAGAAAAAAAGUUAAGAUUUUUGUUGGCUUUUUCACUAAGCUGCUCAGACCUUGUUAUGUUGAAAUAAAAGCAGUCUCUGUUAGAAAGGGGCCUUUUCUCUUUGCCCUUGACCACUUCCUCUGUGCAUCAGGCUCCCUCCUGGAUGAUGGCUGGCAGCUCCUGGGCAGCUCGCACCCUCUUGGAGUAGGGCGUAGAGGAGAUGGAGCUAAAGGUCUCCUUCCACGGGAGACAUAUACGUGCCACCGAGCCUCCAAAAUUCAAGCAGUUGGAAGAAGAGAUGUGUUAACCAGCGGGCUUCUUUCUGUGGACUUGGAAACCUAAUAAACGUGUCCACUGGACUCUCCACGAAGAAGUGUGUUUCUGUCCUUCGAGCAGGACCACUUGUUGGGUAUUUAUCCGGUAGAACUCUGUAUUUGUAUAUUUUACAGACGAUGACCAUUUGAUCAGAGCCAUGGGGCAAACAGAGAACUUAAAAUCCUGACUCCUGCCUUAAAACUCGUAGUUCAUCUUGAGCUCCAAAAAUUCUGCACCUGCUUGUUUCAGAGUCCCUUUUUCUUUAGGAAAUUUGAGUCCAGUUAAAGGCUGGAGACGAUUUAAGGAAAUUUAAAUCAAAUUAAAUUUUAGCUGAUGUCUUUAUUAAAAUAACUAACUGGUCUUGUAUUAAAAACCCUGUUUGUGCCUCUCAAGUCCAGGGAAUGUUUAAAAAGUGGAGGUGGCUUUUGAGCAAUGAUUGACAUUACUGCGUUAGCUGGAGAUUUGUAAGCCACUUGCUUUCAUAUGUUCUGAGCAAGAGACUUAGGUUUGUGUCCUCUCUGCCUCAUGGUAAUGGCUUUCAAAGAUGGCUGGUACCAUCAAAUUUGUACUUCUU